rnacentral:rRNA from 1 species
AUUGAACGCUGGCGGCAUGCUUUACACAUGCAAGUCGAACGGUAACAGGCCGCAAGGUGCUGACGAGUGGCGAACGGGUGAGUAAUGCAUCGGAACGUGCCCAGUCGUGGGGGAUAACGCAGCGAAAGUUGCGCUAAUACCGCAUACGAUCUAUGGAUGAAAGCGGGGGACCGUAAGGCCUCGCGCGAUUGGAGCGGCCGAUGUCAGACUAGGUAGUUGGUGGGGUAGAGGCUCACCAAGCCGACGAUCUGUAGCUGGUCUGAGAGGACGACCAGCCACACUGGGACUGAGACACGGCCCAGACUCCUACGGGAGGCAGCAGUGGGGAGUUUUGGACAAUGGGCGCAAGCCUGAUCCAGCAAUGCCGCGUGCAGGAAGAAGGCCUUCGGGUUGUAAACUGCUUUUGUACGGAACGAAACGGUCCUGGUUAAUACCCGGGGCUAAUGACGGUACCGUAAGAAUAAGCACCGGCUAACUACGUGCCAGCCGCCGCCGUAAUAC